AAGGCAGGAUGAAUUAUGAGAAGUUCCAGGUUUGCAGCACUUUCUUCAAUAAUUAGCCUAAGGUAGGGAGGAGGGAGAAAUUAACCUCACUAAACUCCCAUUUUACAUAACCCAAAUGUACAUUGCUAACACCUGGCUGAGUACAGAAAUUCAUCUUGAGGUGAUCCAGUUUAAAACCCAUUUGUAAAUUCAGUCUGAAGGCCUUCAAGUGAAAGGGAUGAAGGGCUAGAAAACACAAAGCGGGGAGCAGGCAGCCCCUCCACGUGGCAGCCCGGAUGGCUUGACAGGGCCUCUCCAGGGCUGAUGGAUGCAUCUCUGAGAUGGUCCACAGGUGCAAUUUCAUCAUCUAUCAGAAUGGGAGACCACACCAGAUCAGACUAGAUCACCUCUAUGAUCCAUUUUAACUUCAAAGUACUGUAAGUCUAUAAUUCUAAACAUACAAGAAGAAAGAACAAACAGAAAAGAUUCUUUAGGACAAAGUAGGAAGCUGAGAGCUCCAUGGACAUCUGGAAGAGAAUGUCAAUAAGCAAUUCUGACACAGAGUAAACUUAUUCAGACUGUC